UCUCUAAAUCAGUAAACUUUAAAAAAAAAAAAAGAACUUUGUUUCAGUAAAUAAUAGUGAUCCACAUCUCAAUUGGUGAGGACUUAUUGAAAAUCUCAAGUGCCUUUCUCGAUGGUCCAUAUUUUUUUUCAAAAAAUGUAAAAUAUGUAUGAAACAGCCUUACAUGAGAAAUUAUUCUAAUUUCUUACACAAGAACAACCCAGCUCCUCCAUCUACUAGCUGCAGGAUCAUGGACAAGCUACCUAACCACCCUGAUCCUGGAAUUCAGCCAUAAUAAUACCCACCACACAGGGUUGAUGUAAGGAUUAAAUAAAUAAGUUAAUAUCUCUAGAGUGCUUACCAUAUCCCUGGCACUGUUCCAAGCACAAGCGAUCAUCUUGGCCCUGUCCUCUCAGAGUAUAAGGUGGCUGACAGCAGGCACAAAGGUAAAAUAACAAGCCCAGAUGGCCAUCCCAAACUGCGGACUUAUCUAUCCCGAAAGGAGGAGGCUAAAGUCAGGUAGGGGUGAAGCACACAUGGGUAAAGUGAGCCUGGAAGAAUAAGGAGGCCUGUCAUUUUCCAUAUCAGAGCAACUGUGGUUGAAUAAAGCCUCCUCUUAAAGAAGUGUGGCUGUGAAGCAAAGGAGAGAGUGGUUGCUAGAGAGAGGCUUACCUUCUGCUCAAAAACAACCUCCACCCUCCCCUAUCUCACCUCCUGUCUCUCCUCUACCCAAUGCACUCUUGACUGCACCCCCUACUCUCUCCCUGCAGGAACCUACUAGCCAAAUACUCUACAGGAUCAAAUAAAGCAAGCACUGAAAAAUGAAGUCAGGCUCCCCAGGGGCUCUGCACAGCUCCGGGCACUCGGGAGGUCCCCCGUGAGUGGUAUAUGACCUCCCCAAGUCUGACACUUCCAUGUUGAACUCCAUACUGUUACUUUGCAACUUCGUUCUUAGCUGAGUUUUACUCUGCUCUCUUUCCUCAGCUGUCUUCCCCGAAACACCCAAAGGUGGAUGAUGAAUCCUAUAAUUUUGCCCCUAGAUCAUCCCAUCUGUUCCUGCACAUUCAACUACACAACGCUCUACUUUGCCAAUGCUCAAAUCUACAUCACCAGCUCCACUGCUCUCCUGAGCUAGUUACUUUAUAUCUCAUUUGUCCACUGAGCACUUAAAUAGACAUGGUGUCUGUCCAGUAGACAUCCCAAACCGGGCAACACUAAAACCAAUACUUUCUGUCCAAAUGCAGUUGCCGCUGCAGUAUCUAUUGGUGGUUAUUCACUCAGGGCAGAAGGCUAGGGUUCAAUCUUUCCCUUCAAAGCUCAUUCUUUUCACCUCUUCUGUCACCUCAGUGUUGUAUAAUCCACUCCUUCUCUAUCCCCAUCACUGACUUGGGUCAGUGUCUUCUGGGUCUUAAUAUUCAAGCCUUUUGUCCAUGUCUCUCUUCAUGGUAAACAUUAAGUACAUGUCACCCCCUAGGUGAUUAACCUCCUUGUCCCUAUCUACCAGAGCAGCGAAUACAUGAGGAGACACUGCCGAAUCGCUAAAAUUAAGUAGACGCAGAUUUAAUUCCCACCUCUGCUAUUUAGUAUUUAUGUGUCCUUCAGCAAUUUCCUGAAGCCUAUAAGGAAGUAAUUUCUACCUGGGCGUUUAGUUUCCUCAUUAGUAAAAUAAUAGGAUUGCCAUUAAUUCCAUAUCCUUCUGGCUUUAACUAAAAGAAGAUUUCUUAGACGAGGAGAAAUGAAAUAACCUAAGUUUAGUAGAUCGAGAGGCUUGGCUCCAGAAAAUCCGUCUGACUAAAUGUUGAAGGAAAUCGUCCCAGGUCCCACUGCUCAGCCCUUCUCCUGUAGAUUGGGUCGCUGACCUCAUACUGACUUUGUGACAUCCCAGAGUGAGGAAGUAUAAGUCCACAGUUGCCUGGUUUCUUUAGAUGCUCCUCCCUGCCUCAUCUCAAGGCUCAGAAAACCAUUUUCAUGUAAAUAGCCAGAAACCCCACACUGGGAUUCUAACAUCUACCAUGACUGGAUGCAGCCACCCUAGGAUACGGCACUUCUGCCCAUCCCUUAGGACUCCAUCUUUCUUCCGGAGCACAGAAAAAAGUACCACCAAGGACAGCCUGGGGGAGAAAAAGGAUAGCAACUGGCCAGUUCUUCAGUGUGUGGUCCUGAAGGAGUGUAGGAGGAAUACCGGGAGCAGUUGGGGGAUGUGUAAGAGGAGGGGAGGAAGGAGGUGGUGAUGGAGGCAUUUCGGAAGAGCCUUCAUUCAUUCUCAGGCACAUGGAAUGGCCUCAGUGAGAAGCAAGGCAUUUCAUGAAGAAAUUGCGGAGCACUCGUGCAGGACGGUGCUCUGGAGAGGAUACGAAUCUUUCUGCACGGUGACAUAGUCCUUACUGCGGUGACAUAGAUCUCUGCGGUAUUACCUUCCACAUUUUCUCCCGGAACAAAAGUGAGGCUGCCCAGCAUUGAGAAUCUCUUGAUCAAUAAAAUUGGAUCACUGCAACA